GGUUUCCAAGCCUGGCUGGAAGAAAAAGAGAUAUAGAAAUGUAGAUGAUAGAUAGAUAGAUAGAUAGAUAGAUAGAUAGAUAGAUAGAUAGACAGACAGACAGAUAGAUAAGAGACAGACAGACACCAACAGACAAAUCAUAUUUUUGAAACAUACCCCAGGGCAAGCAGGAAGACUAUGGGGACAAAGUUGGUCCAUGGUCCUCCCUGUAAGAUCAAUGAUCCUCCCUGUAAGGUCUAUGGUCCUCCCUGUAAUAUCUAUAGUCCUCCCUGUAAGAUCCAUAGUCCUCCCUGUAAGAUCCAUAGUCCUCCCUGUAAGAUCUAUGGUCCUCCCUGUAAGGCCCAUGGUCCUCCCUGUAAUGUCAAUAGUCCUCCCUGUAAGAUCUAUGGUCUUCCCUUUAAGGCCCAUGGUCCUCCCUUUUAGCUGCACUCCACUGAAAGGUAUGCUGGUCUCUAGAAAGGCUUGGGAAUCCCCGUGUCAGUUCAGACUUGUGGAUGAGCUUGGGCAUCUUUGAGGAUGCAGAAACCUUGAAUUAAGACUUCUACAGUCAAGAAGGAAAAAGAAAAGGGGGUGAAUUUUUACCUAAAAGUCAGCACCCAGAGCUUCAGAGGAAGA
rnacentral:lncRNA from 1 species